GUUUUAAUAGUUUAUAAUAAAACAUUGGUUUUGUAAACCAAAAAUAAGAUUAAUUUUAAAACU
rnacentral:tRNA from 1 species